rnacentral:rRNA from 1 species
UACGGAGGAUGCGAGCGUUAUCCGGAUUCAUUGGGUUUAAAGGGUGCGCAGGCGGGCUAUUAAGUCAGGGGUGAAAUACUACGGCUCAACCGUGGAACUGCCUUUGAUACUGAUAGUCUUGAAUUUAGUUGAAGUGGGCGGAAUGUAGCAUGUAGCGGUGAAAUGCAUAGAUAUGCUACAGAACGCCGAUAGCGAAGGCAGCUCACUAAGUUAAUAUUGACGCUCAUGCACGAAAGCGUGGGGAUCAAACAGG